AGUAGUUUGGAAAACCGAAUCUGAAAAAAAUUAGUGUACGAUCCACUCAGUAAAUCUCUACUGACUGAUGAGCAAAGAAUUUAAUGAGAUGGAGUUCAACCACCAACUCUGGACUUUCUCACUUUCUGAAGGCUGCUAUUAUCUUGAACUCAUUGUGUUUUCUUCAGACCCUUUUAUUCCAAAUUUAAAGCUCAUAUUUGGAGUACCACAAAGCAUCAAAAAGAGAUCAGCUUGAGGGGCCUUCCUGGUGGUGCAAGGGCUUAAGCUUCAGCACUAUGAAGCAGUCCG